rnacentral:rRNA from 1 species
AUACGGGAGGCAGCAGUGGGGAAUAUUGGACAAUGGGCGCAAGCCUGAUCCAGCCAUGCCGCGUGAGUGAUGACGGCCUUAGGGUUGUAAAGCUCUUUCGGCGGGGACGAUAAUGACGGUACCCGCAGAAGAAGCCCCGGCUAACUUCGUGCCAGCAGCCGCGGUAAUACGAAGGGGGCUAGCGUUGUUCGGAAUCACUGGGCGUAAAGGGCGCGUAGGCGGCUUUGUAAGUCGGGGGUGAAAGCCUGUGGCUCAACCACAGAAUUGCCUUCGAUACUGCGAGGCUUGAGACCGGAAGAGGUUAGUGGAACUGCGAGUGUAGAGGUGAAAUUCGUAGAUAUUCGCAAGAACACCAGUGGCGAAGGCGGCUGACUGGUCCGGAUCUGACGCUGAGGCGCGAAAGCGUGGGGAGCAAACAGGAUUAGAUACCCCGGUAGG